rnacentral:rRNA from 1 species
GGAAUCUGCCUGGUAGUGGGGGACGAACGUUUCGAAAGGAACGCUAAUACCGCAUACGUCCUACGGGAGAAAGCAGGGACCUUCGGGCCUUGCGCUAUCAGAUGAGCCUAGGUCGGAUUAGCUAGUUGGUGAGGUAAUGGCUCACCAAGGCGACGAUCCGUAACUGGUCUGAGAGGAUGAUCAGUCACACUGGAACUGAGACACGGUCCAGACUCCUACGGGAGGCAGCAGAA